rnacentral:rRNA from 1 species
GACGAACGCUGGCGGCGUGCUUAACACAUGCAAGUCGAACAGAAAGGCCCUGCUUUUGUGGGGUGCUCGAGUGGCGAACGGGUGAGUAACACGUGAGUAACCUGCCCUUGACUUUGGGAUAACUUCAGGAAACUGGGGCUAAUACCGGAUAGGAGCUCCUGCUGCAUGGUGGGGGUUGGAAAGUUUCGGCGGUUGGGGAUGGACUGGCGGCUUAUCAGCUUGUUGGUGGGGUAGUGGCUUACCAAGGCUUUGACGGGUAGCCGGCCUGAGAGGGUGACCGGCCACAUUGGGACUGAGAUACGGCCCAGACUCCUACGGGAGGCAGCAGUGGGGAAUAUUGCACAAUGGGCGGAAGCCUGAUGCAGCAACGCCGCGUGCGGGAUGACGGCCUUCGGGUUGUAAACCGCUUUCGCCUGUGACGAAGCGUGAGUGACGGUAAUGGGUAAAGAAGCACCGGCUAACUACGUG